UCAAACUUGGUCAUUUAGAGGAAGUAAAAGUCGUAACAAGGUAACCGUAGGUGAACCUGCGGUUGGAUCAUUAUUGAAUCAAUCUGCCUUUUUGGCUGUGUGCCUAACAAGAUAUUCUCCCAAUGGUGUCUAUCUUGUCAGGUAUUCACAAACCUUCUGUGAACUGUUGUUUGUCUCUGGCAGUUGGGCAGAGAGUAAUGCACAGCAAUUACUUCUCAGUCUGUCAGCUUGAUGCAUUAGUCAGGCCGUGGACAAGCUGCCAACUUCUUCUAUCAACAACUAUUGCCAUAUCUUCUUGUCUUAACUAACACAUCACUGUAUUAAAUGAUACGAACAACUUUUGGCAACGGAUCUCUUGGCUCUCGCAUCGAUGAAGAACGCAGC
rnacentral:misc_RNA from 1 species